rnacentral:rRNA from 1 species
AUUGAACGCUGGCGGAAUGCCUUACACAUGCAAGUCGAACGGUAGAGGGGGCAACCCCUCGAGAGUGGCGAACGGGUGAGUAAUAUAUCGGAACGUGCCCAGUCGUGGGGGAUAACGUAGCGAAAGUUACGCUAAUACCGCAUACGAUCUACGGAUGAAAGCGGGGGAUCGCAAGACCUCGCGCGAUUGGAGCGGCCGAUAUCAGAUUAGGUAGUUGGUGGGGUAAAGGCUCACCAAGCCAACGAUCUGUAGCUGGUCUGAGAGGACGACCAGCCACACUGGAACUGAGACACGGUCCAGACUCCUACGGGAGGCAGCAGUGGGGAAUUUUGGACAAUGGGCGAAAGCCUGAUCCAGCCAUUCCGCGUGCAGGAUGAAGGCCCUCGGGUUGUAAACUGCUUUUGUACAGAACGAAAAGGUUUCUACUAAUACUAGGAGCUCAUGACGGUACUGUAAGAAUAAGCAUCGGCUAACUACGUGCCAGCAGCCGCCGUAA